rnacentral:misc_RNA from 1 species
AAGAAAUUUAAUAAUUUUGAAAAUGGAUUUUUUUUUUUUGUUUUGGCAAGAGCAUGAGAGCUUUUACUGGGCAAGAAGACAAGAGAUGGAGAGUCCAGCCGGGCCUGCGCUUAAGUGCGCGGUCUUGCUAGGCUUGUAAGUUUCUUUCUUGCUAUUCCAAACGGUGAGAGAUUUCUGUGCUUUUGUUAUAGGACAAUUAAAACCGUUUCAAUACAACACACUGUGGAGUUUUCAUAUCUUUGCAACUUUUUCUUUGGGCAUUCGAGCAAUCGGGGCCCAGAGGUUAACAAACACAAACAAUUUUAUCUAUUCAUUAAAUUUUUGUCAAAAACAAGAAUUUUCGUAACUGGAAAUUUUAAAAUAUUAAAAACUUUCAACAACGGAUCUCUUGGUUCUCGCAUCGAUGAAGAACGCAGCGAAAUGCGAUACGUAAUGUGAAUUGCAGAAUUCCGUGAAUCAUCGAAUCUUUGAACGCACAUUGCGCCCCUUGGUAUUCCAGGGGGCAUGCCUGUUUGAGCGUCAUUUCCUUCUCAAACAUUCUGUUUGGUAGUGAGUGAUACUCUUUGGAGUUAACUUGAAAUUGCUGGCCUUUUCAUUGGAUGUUUUUUUUUUCCAAAGAGAGGUUUCUCUGCGUGCUUGAGGUAUAAUGCAAGUACGGUCGUUUUAGGUUUUACCAACUGCGGCUAAUCUUUUUUAUACUGAGCGUAUUGGAACGUUAUCGAUAAGAAGAGAGCGUCUAGGCGAACAAUGUUCUUAAAGU